GGAGUCUGGGCCGUGUCUCAGUCCCAAUGUGGCCGUUCAUCCUCUCAGACCGGCUACCGAUCGUCGCCUUGGUAGGCCGUUACCCCACCAACCAGCUAAUCGGACGCAGGCCCAUCCCCCGGCGAUAGCUUAUAAAUAGAGGCCAUCUUUCAAAUCCGUACCAUGCGGCACAGACUUCGUAUCCGGUAUUAGCACCCCUUUCGGAGUGUUGUCCCCGGCCGGAGGGCAGGUUGCCUACGCGUUACUCACCCGUUUGCCACUAGGCUCAUAAAAGCAAGCUUUCAAUCGCCCCGUUCGACUUGCAUGUGUUAAGCACGCCGCCAGCGUUCGUCCUCGAGCCAUGAUCAAACUACU
rnacentral:rRNA from 1 species